CCUACGGGAGGCAGCAGUAGGGAAUCUUUCACAAUGGGCGAAAGCCUGAUGGAGCAACGCCGCGUGCAGGAUGAAGGCCUUCGGGUUGUAAACUGCUUUUAUAAGCGAGAAAUAUGAUGGUAACUUAUGAAUAAGGAUCGGCUAACUACGUGCCAGCAGCCGCGGUCAUACGUAGGAGCCGAGCAUUAUCCGGAGUGACUGGGUGUAAAGAGUUGCGUUGGUGGCAUAAUAAGUAGCUAGUGAAAUCUGGUGGCUAAAACAUUCAGACUAUUAGCUAAACUGGUAGGCUCGAGACCGUUAGAGGUAACUGGAAUUGCUGGUGUAGGAGUGAAAUGCGUAGAUAUUAGAAGGAACACCAAUGGCGUAGGCAGGUUACUGGGACGGUUCUGACACUAAGGCACGAAAGCGUAGGGAGCAAACGGGAUUAGAUACCCGGGUAGUC
rnacentral:rRNA from 1 species